GUACUAUGAUGGUUGCAUAGUUCAGCAGAUAUGUCAUGAAGAGAUUAACACCUGUCCGAUGUAUCU
ensembl:snoRNA